GACGAACGCUGGCGGCGUGCUUAACACAUGCAAGUCGAACGAAGAGCGAUGGAAGCUUGCUUCUAUCAAUCUUAGUGGCGAACGGGUGAGUAACGCGUAAUCAACCUGCCCUUCAGAGGGGGACAACAGUUGGAAACGACUGCUAAUACCGCAUACGAUCCAAUCUCGGCAUCGAGACUGGAUGAAAGGUGGCCUCUAUUUAUAAGCUAUCACUGAAGGAGGGGAUUGCGUCUGAUUAGCUAGUUGGAGGGGUAACGGCCCACCAAGGCGAUGAUCAGUAGCCGGUCUGAGAGGAUGAACGGCCACAUUGGGACUGAGACACGGCCCAGACUCCUACGGGAGGCAGCAGUGGGGAAUCUUCCGCAAUGGACGAAAGUCUGACGGAGCAACGCCGCGUGAGUGAUGACGGCCUUCGGGUUGUAAAGCUCUGUUAAUCGAGACGAAUGGUUCUUGUGCGAAUAGUGCGAGGAUUUGACGGUACCGGAAUAGAAAGCCAC
rnacentral:rRNA from 1 species